rnacentral:lncRNA from 1 species
UCCCAUUUUUCUACUUGAUUCUUUCUUUCCUCUGUGUUAUCUGUUGGGUUAUAAAUUAUAGAUAAAUUCUUGUUGUUCCUGAUCCUGGAAAUUAAAUACCAGAAGAACAUAUUUAAUUCUAGAAGAUUACAAAAUAAAUCCUUAAGGAUAAUGUUCAACACGACUCAGAUUUCAUUAUUUUAUCCCAAUUUUCCAACAAUCUUAAGGAUUUAUCUUUACACAAAUGAGGAUUUAUCUUGUCACUGUCUGCUUCUACACUACCUGCUUCCAAUGACAUUAUCACUCACUGUCUCUGCUUCUAUAAAUGAUGGAUCUUUUCUACCUGCUAAUUCAUACGCCAAACAUUUUCCUGACAUCUCAAAGAUUGAGAAUCAAGACCUGUCCCUGCUGUUGAUCCAAAGUUGCAUGAAAUUUGGACCUAUUCUAAUAAGGUAUGUAGGCAUAUAAUUAUCAGUACUCUUUCUAACGAUCUCUUUGAUAACUAGUGUUCCUACAAGGAAACCAAGAAAAUAUGGGAUUCAAUGAAAUAUAGGAUUCAAUGAACCUGAAAUAUACUGCUGAGGAUAUUGGCUACAAGAGCAAAUCUUGUACAAGAAAAAGGGCACAUUUCAAAUAACAGGUACGAAAAUGAGAAAGCUGAUUACAAACCUAAAUUUAAUAAUCUCAUCUUCAAAAAUAAAAGAUAUUGUCUUGUAUGUGGCAAGUCGGGUCAUGAUGCACCCCAGUGCAGGAAAAGAGUGAUAAAUGACAAUCCUCCUAAACCAAAAGUAGAUUUAGUUGAAGGAGAUGACAUUAUUGCUGCGGUUAUUUCUCAAACUUUUCUUAUAGUUAAUGUGCAAGAAUGGGUAGUAGAUUCUGGUGCUACUAGGCAUAUAUGUAUAAACAGAAAUGCGUUUACCUCCUACUCUACAAUGGGGAAAGGAGAAGAAAAUGUGUAUUUUGGUGAUUCUAGGAUUGCAAGUGUCCUUGGUAAAGGGAAAAUUCUUCUCAAACUCACAUCUGACAAGACCUUGGCACUUAAUGAGAUACUUCAUGUCCUAAUAUGAAAGCUAAUUUAAUUUAUGUAACUCUAUUGAAAAAGGCUGUGAUUAAGGUGUUCUUUGGGUCAAACACAAUUAUACUGAUUAAAAAUGAUAUUUUUAUUGAAAAAUGUUAUUGUAAUCAGGAAUUCUUUGUUUCUCAAUAUUUAUGCAAUAACAAAUGGAAAUGCAUCUUGUGCUUUCUUACUUGAUUCUUUUGAUUUAUGAUAUGCUAGAUUAUGACAUGUUAGUGCUUCUCAUAUUAAAAAAAAAAUGCAAUAUCUUAGUAUAAUAUUUAGCACUGGUAAUACAUGUUUAAAUAAAUGACAGAUUUGUAUAAAAUCUAAGUCAACCAAAAAAUAAUGUUUAACUACACAUAGAGAAUUUGAAUUGCUUAGUUUAAUACAUACAGACUUAGAAAAUUUUAAAACAAACUAUGAUUAGAGGUGAUAUAUAUAUAUAUAUAUAUAUAUAUGCAACUUUUAUUGAUGAUUAUUCUAGAUAUAUUAAAGUAUAUUUGCUUAGAAACAAAGAUGAAACAUUUAAUAUGUUUCUAUUGUAUAAAACUGAAGUAGAAAAUCAAUUAAAUAGAAAAAUAAAAAGGAAUAGAUUAGAUAGAGGUGAAAAAUAUAUCUUAUUUAAUGACUUUUGUGAAAAAGAUUGAAUAAUUCAUGAAUUUACUCUAUCCUACUCACUUGAAUCUAAUGGAGUAGCAGAAAGAAAAAAUAAAAUAUUAAAAGAAAUGAUGAAUGCUUUAUUAACAAGUUCUUCCUCACCUAAUAACCUUUGGGGGAAAUUCUAUUAUCUGCUUGUCAUUUACAAAAUAGAAUACCUUAUAAGAAAACUGAUAAAACACCCUAUGAACUUUGGAAAAGUUUUACACUUAACUUAAAAUAUUUAAAAGUGUGGGGAUAUCUUGCUAAAGUAAUACUUUCCGAUCCUAAGAAAUGAAAAAUAGGUUCACAAACUUCUGAUUGCAUGUUUAUAAGUUAUGUUGAAACUUAUAAACUCAAGCUUAUAAGUUUGUUUUAACUUCUAUACAUAAACUUAUUAUUCAUCAAAUGGAUGUUAAAACAGUUUUUAAAUGAAGACUUGGAAGAAGAAAUUUAUAUGGUUCAACAUAAUGGUUGUAUUGUUUCAGGUCAAUAAAAUAAAGUCUGUAAAUUUCUUAGAUCAUUAUAUGGUUUAAAACAAGCUCCCAAACAGUAACAUGAGAAAUUUGAUCAAAUUUUGUUAAAUGAUGAUUUUAUACGUAUAAAUGAUGAAUAUGUGAUUAUUUGUUUAUAUGUGGAUGAUAUGCUUACUUUUUGUACAAGUUACGAUAUAGUUUGUAAAUCAAAAGUUUUCCUUGCCUCUAAAUUUGAUAUGAAACAUGUGAGAGAGGCAAACGUGAUUUUGGGAGUUAGAAUCAUAAGAAAAAUGAUAGUUCAAUGCUAUCACAAGAGCAUUAUAUUGAGAAAUUUCUAAGGAAGAUUGGACAUUUCAAUGUCAAACCAGUGAGUACCCCUUAUGAUCCUAACUGUCAAUUAAAGAAAAUUAGAGGUGACUUUGAUGCUCAAUCUGAAUAUGCACAGAUCAUUGGGAGUCUGUUGCAUUUAGUGAAUUUUUCAUCAACACCGUCUGUAUCAAUGCGUUGUGAUUGCCAAGAGGCAAUAGCCAUUGCAAAGAAUAAAACUUUCAAUGGUAAGAAUAAACAUAUUCGUCUGAGACAUAAUGUUGUUAAGCAGAUGCUGAAAGAUGGAACUAUUUUCAUCGAUUAUGUGAAGUCAGAAGUGAAUUUGGCCGAUUCUCUGACUAAACCUUUAGAGAGAAAACUAAUAGAUGAAAUAUGGAAAGGAAUGAGACUUGAGCCAGUUUGAAAUUAACAGUGAUAGUAACCCAACUUUUGUGAUUAGAGAUCCCAUAAAAAAGAUUCAUAUGGGUAAUAACAAGUCACUUGUUAGUUGUGAUAGCACUAUUUAUUGUUGUCCCUUCCUAUGGUGUGAGAAGUGCUAGACUGCAUUAAUGAGAGAAUGAGAUGGAAGCUUUUAAUGAUAUUCAUAUCUCUUAUGGGUGGUGUAUAAAUUGCAGUAUACACUUAUGAUAUUACCUAUAUAAGUGUAGAGUGGAGCCGCUUCUAUGAGAUUGUGGCAUAAUUUCUAGAGCACUUAUGAACUACUAGGCCCGCGCAUAGCCUAUUAACGCAAAUUGAUGAGAAAUUAAUAUACAAAAAAGAGCUUUGUUUAAUAGAAAUAAAAGUUUCACCAAUUACUCUGUAUGUUAAAUCGUAUUAAUCUAGGUCUGGUUCAUAGUCUAAAAGACACCAGAUUCGAAUCUUAUAUACUAAAUUUCUAAAUUCGACAAUGAAAAUCUUUUGAAAUCUAUAGGAGAUUAUUGUAAAAUUAGUUUAGAUUUCAAAAAAAUUUUAUUAUCAUUAAAAAUUUUAUGGUUGUUGAAGAUUUCAUAAUAAUUAAAAAUUUUAUUAUCGUUAAAAAUUUUAUUAUAAUUAAAGAUUUUAUGAUCAUUAAAUAUUUUAUUUAUGAAAUUUAAAUAUAAUAUUAAAUAUGACCGUUAUGAUUUAUUUCAAGAUUUUUAUAAACUAUAUAUACCGGUAAGCUUUUCCACAAUAAAUAGCUUUCAUCUUUAUAAAAAUAAUGACUCUCAUUUUUCUACUUGAUUCUUUCUUUUCUCUUUAUUAUCUGCUGAAUUAUAAAUUAGAGAUAUAAAUUAGAGAUAAAUUCUUGCUGUUCCUGUUACUGAUCUAAAAAUUAAAUGCCAGAAGGACCUAUUCAAUUCCGGGGAUUACAAAAUAAAUUUUAUUAUUUUAUCUCAAUUUUCCAACAGCAAGUGGCUUUGUUUGAGUCUAUAUCCUUUCCUUGGAAAGGAAAUAGUCACAUUGAAAUUUAUUUUCUUCUAAUUUGUGAUAUCUGGGGCUUCAAUAUGUGGAUUAUGGCCAGAAAUAGCUACUGUUGCAGAGGUCUCUAUUGGCCAUUUUUUGGCUUCUAGAGUUCAGGCAACUAGAGCUUUCUGAAGAAAUAGUGGGGCUUCUAUUGAUCUUCCAUUGGUUCUUGUGCCUUGUAUCAAGUUUAAAUAUUUAAUCAUCACAGUUUUGAAUAAUAUAUAUACAUAGAUUCAAGAUUUCAAAGCCAAAAGUUACAUUCUCCUUUUAACAAUUUUAUAUGUAACAAAAUAAUAAUAACAAUAAUUAAUUAAAGAGAGAACUCAUAUUAGGAAAUUAUGACUCAAAUGGCAAUCCAAAAUACACUGAAAAGAUUCAAAUCUCAUCACACUAAAACCAAAAUACCCAACAGCAAAACAGAAGCAGAUCCCAUUCUAUCAUAAUUCAUAAAGAGAAAAACUACAGAUUGAAGCCAUAGGGACCGACAAAAACACGAUUCCCCAGCGUAUUAUAAUAAUAAUAAUAAGUAAUUAUAACUAACCCAUUUCGGCUUGUUGAGAUCUUUUCUCGCAUCGUUGCGUCAGGAAGUGAAGUAGAAGACUGGGUGGAGGAAGAGGUGGAGAAGCUUGAAGCAGGCGCAUGAGAAAGAAAGGAACACCACACCGUAUACGAUCCUCAGAGCCAUUGGGAGAUUUCCUUUUCCUGACGUAGACGAUAGGGUUUUUAAAGAGAGGGAUUUGGAUUUUGGAUCUGGAAUUUUAAAGCGCAAGAGGAUAAUGUUUUCUUUUUCCUUUUCGGGAAUUUGAAAUAUUUGAUUUUUUUAAAAAAAUUGUAAAUUGUGAAUCACACGUGUCUUGAAAGCGGGUGUCGUGGCAAGAGGCUUGUCGGAGUCUUGUAUGGUUUGUGUAGGAAAAAAGCAAGUCUACAAUUUUUUAAUUUUCAUGCUUUCAGAAAGAUAAAGAAAACUUUGACAUAAUCGGCUCGAGGGAUUCAGACCACGUAGAAGGAAAAGAUCCAACCCCC